rnacentral:rRNA from 1 species
AUUGAACGCUGGCGGCAGGCCUAACACAUGCAAGUCGAACGGUAACAGGAAGACGCUUGCUUCUUUGCUGACGAGUGGCGGACGGGUGAGUAAUGUCUGGGCAUCUGCCUGCUGGAUGGGGGUAGCUACUGGAAACGGUAGCUAAUACCGCAUACCGUCGAAAGUCCAUAGAGGGGGACCUUCGAGCCUCUUGCCAUCGGCUGUGCCCAGCUGGGAUUAGCUAGUAGGUGGGGUCACGGCUGACCUAGGCGACGACCCCUAGCUGGUCUGAGAGGAUGACCAGCCACACUGGAACUGAGACACGGUCCAGACUCCUACGGGAGGCAGCAGUGGGGAAUAUUGGACAAUGGGCGAAAGCCUGAUGCAGCCAUGCCGCGUGUAUGAAGAAGGCCUUCGGGUUGUAAAGUACUUUCAGCGGGGAGGAAGGGAGUAAAGUUAAUACCUUUGCUCAUUGACGGUACCCUCAGAAGAAGCACCGGCUAACUCCGUG